UACGUAGGGGGCGAGCGUUGUCCGGAGUUACUGGGCGUAAAGGGCAUGCAGGCGGUCGGACGCGUUUCGGGUGACAGCGGGUGGCUUAACUACCCGAGUGGUCGAAAGACGGUUUGACUUGAGGACGCGAGAGGGACACGUGAAUUCCGGGGUGGAGUGGUGAAUGCGUAGAGAUCCGGAGGAACACCGAAGGCGAAGGCAGUGUCCUGGCGCGUAACUGACGCUGAGGUGCGAAAGCCAGGGGAGCGAACGGG
rnacentral:rRNA from 1 species